rnacentral:rRNA from 1 species
GACGAACGCUGGCGGCGUGCUUAACACAUGCAAGUGGAGCGACGAACCGGGCUUGCCCGGGGCAGAGCCGCGAACGGGUGAGUAACACGUGGGUUACCUACCCCGAUGAUUGGGACAACCCGAGGAAACUCGGGCUAAUACCAAAUGUGCUCGUGGCCAUAAUGGCCUCGAGGAAAGGAAGCUUCGGCCUCCGCAUCGGGAUGGGCCCGCGGCCCAUUAGCUAGUUGGUGGGGUAACGGCCUACCAAGGCGACGAUGGGUAGCUGGUCUG